AAUCGUGAACAGAACACUUUGGAAAAUGUGACCAUAGACGGUGAUAGUCCAGUAUGUGAAGCGAAAUGCAGCAUAGCGGUAUCCUGAGUAACGCGGGACACGAGGAAUCCUGCGCGAAUCUGCCGGGACCAUCCGGUAAGGCUAAAUACUCCUGAGAGACCGAUAGUGAACCAGUACCGUGAGGGAAAGGUGAAAAGAACCCCGGG
rnacentral:rRNA from 1 species